rnacentral:rRNA from 1 species
GGCUAACGCUGGCGGCGUGUCUUAGCCAUGCAAGUCGAGCGGACUUAUGGGGUAACUUAUAAGUCAGCGGCGGACGGCGGAGUAACACGUAGCUAACCUACCCUCUGGACGGGGAUAACCUACCGAAAGGUGGGCUAAUACCCGAUGUAGUCAUCCUGUAUAGGGGUGAUGAAAGGUGGGCUUCUGUUUACAAGCUCAUGCUGGAGGAGGGGGCUGCGGCCUAUCAGGUAGUUGGUAGGGUAAUAGCCUACCAAGCCGAUGACGGGUAGCCGGCCUGAGAGGGUGACCGGCCCGAGGGGCACUGAGAUACGGGUCCCACUCCUACGGGAGGCAGCAGGCUAGAAAUUUGGGCAAUGGGGGAAACCCUGACCCCAGUGACGCCGCGUGCAGGAAGGAGCCCUUCGGGGUGUAAACUGCUGUCGUGUAGGGAGAAGGGUACUAAGGUGAACAAUCUUAGUACUUGACGGUACUACAGGAGGAAGCCCAGGCUAACCUCGUG